GAUGAACGCUGGCGGCGUGCCUAAUACAUGCAAGUCGAGCGAACAGACGAGGAGCUUGCUCCUCUGACGUUAGCGGCGGACGGGUGAGUAACACGUGGAUAACCUACCUAUAAGACUGGGAUAACUUCGGGAAACCGGAGCUAAUACCGGAUAAUAUAUUGAACCGCAUGGUUCAAUAGUGAAAGACGGUUUUGCUGUCACUUAUAGAUGGAUCCGCGCCGCAUUAGCUAGUUGGUAAGGUAACGGCUUACCAAGGCAACGAUGCGUAGCCGACCUGAGAGGGUGAUCGGCCACACUGGAACUGAGACACGGUCCAGACUCCUACGGGAGGCAGCAGUAGGGAAUCUUCCGCAAUGGGCGAAAGCCUGACGGAGCAACACCGCGUGAGUGAUGAAGGUCUUCGGAUCGUAAAACUCUGUUGUUAGGGAAGAACAGAUGUGUAAGUAACUAUGCACGUCUUGACGGUACCUAAUCAGAAAGCCACGGCUAACUACGUG
rnacentral:rRNA from 1 species